CAGCCCUCGUCCCCCUUACACUCUCACCCCUCGUCCGUCUCACCCCCCUCGUCCAAACCCUAGCUUCCCUCGCGCCGCACCCGAGCCAUGCCUCCUUCCCUCCUCACGCCGCCACCCACCCACCGCCUCCUCCCUCCCACAGCUCGCCGCAGACGGCCUCCCCUCUCCCAUCCACUUUCCUCCCACCCCAGACGGAUCGCCCCUCUCUCCUCUCCUGCAACCCCUCUCUCUCUCCCCGCACUUCACAGCGACAGCAAGCUCUCCCAGAUCCAUCCGGAUGCCGGACAUGGAGGAGCCCGCGCAGCCCAAGCCCGCUGACCCCUCAGAACCGAAGCUCUCCUCGGACCCGCCCAAGGGCGUGGGGACGAACGUGGACGGCUGGCGCCGAGGCCGCCGCCGGGAGAUCCGACUUCGCCGACGGGAAUGGGGCCGGAUCCGCUGGCCCCCAGCGCCUAUCUCCUCCUGCCCCCUCCCUCGCGGCGCUAUGCUCUGUCGCCGGUGGUUUUAGUUUGAUAAUGUGGCAGGUCGGUGGACGGAGAGGAAUGGUACGGUGCCGUCGAUCUGUCGUGCCUGCGGAUUCGCUGGUUGGCCACCUUGGUUCCGUCCACGGGUUAGGUUGGAUUUGCCCGGCGGACUGGUACGCAGGCGGGCGGGCAGGCAUGCGCCGGAGGAGUGAGCGCUCGUGAGAUUAGAUCUGGCUGCUACUCUGUCCUUCAAGGUGGAUUCACGGUCGGUAGGUUAGGAUGAAUCGGCGGCUGCUAGAUCUGUGAACUCGCUGCCGAGCCAUGGCUGUGCUUCUUGGCUGGAGAGCACACGCGGCCCUGUCCAGCUGUUGUUAAAUCAAGUGUGUUUCGUGCAGAUGAAUGUCCACAAGCUGAAUAAGAUGGCCGGUGCCGUGCGCACCGGCGGCAAGGGCAGUGUGCGCAGCUUGCCAAAAAUGUCAAACUCUGGAUCUAUUCGCCCCAGUGUGCAAUGCCAGACUCUUAAGUACAACAUGAAUGCCAGGGCUGGUAGAUGAUUUACGCUUGAGGAGUCCAAGGUUCGUGAAGAUGAAAAUCUGGUUUUGUGAAGGAAGGAGCCAGCCAUGGAGAAGAUCCUGCUGGUCGUCCCUGGCAAUCCAGGUAUUGUUGGAUUCUACAAGGACUUUGUGGAAGCCCUCUGUGAGCUAGUUCAUGGAGACCUGACAGUCCGAGCGAUCUCUGUAGCGUGAAUGGAGUGAGAGUCCAGAUAACUGCUGAAGACGUGGCAGAUGAUAUGGACUACACAGUCCACACUAUAUGCUGCUACUAAAUUAAGAUGCACAAAGUUCACACUAUAUGCUUUUCAUGUCCCCUGGUGGUGGCCUCUAUAUGUCACAAAGUUCACAUUAGGGACUGUGUAGGGAUUCAUGUGGUUGAUGAGUUGUAGCGUGUUUUGCCUAGGGAUUCAUGUGGUUGAUCGGUUGUAGCGUGUACUGCUAUUGGGUUCCAUGCCUGUCCUUAGAUAGAUUAACUCUCGACUCAUGUAGCGUUGCGUUCGUUCAUGAUCUAGAGGCUGUUACUGAUGUGGCGUUGGGAGAUUUAGCAGCCUGAUUUGACGAGACUGGUAUAUCUUAUUGUAGAUUGUAGAUCAGUUUCGUAUGUUGUCCAUAUGUGUUCCAAAGUAUUUUUCGAGGAGAAUUUGUUUUGAGAUAUCCAUAUCAUGUUGUGCUCGCUGUUUAGUUUUGUUUGUCCCAAAAGGCCUAUGCUAUUUAGUUUUUUGUUGAAUUAAUCAUAAAUGGUAGAUUUUUUUUGUUAUUCAAAGCUGCUGAACAAUGUAGUUAGGUUUGUUUUAUUGCUACAUUAGAAUUACAGCAAUCGUCCUAGUCUUGUUUUGUUGUAGACAUGGCAUUGUUAGAACUUCGGAUGCAGAUUUUCAUCAACUGUUUCUAUGAUUUUCCACUAGAAAAUGUAUAUGCAUUGUUUAUUCUAUUUUAAACUUCAUCAUGGUAUAGUCUGUUUCUAUUCUACUGGCUUGAUUCUGUUGACACUAGCAUGCUCUGUUUGUUUUGGAGCCCAACCAUGGAGCGUAUGUACUAAGCUAGCUCAAGCGCACACACACAGCCAACUUGAUUGAUGUAUGUAGAUACUAGCAGUAGCAUGUAUGUGUGUCUCCUAUACUCGCUUGCUUAAUUUCUGUACUAGAUCAACAACACUAACUCUUACUUCUUUGUUUGAUUCGGAGCGGUAGGCAUCCUUUGUGGACGAUGACGACAACCAGGGCAUCCACCGCCACGACGAUGCUCCGCACAUGGUCCAACUCGGCUACAACCUCCUCUACCGCGGGACGAAGACCGUGGCCGUGUGCAGCAUCGGCUACAAUCUCCUCUCAUGUGAGGAAGAACCAGCUGCCGAUGGGCGAGGGCAUGGGGUACCUGGAGGCCAAGCACCACCUGCUGCUGAGCUACUGCCAGGGCCUCGUCCACUACCUGCUACGUGAGGCCAAGGGGCUGUCUAUCGAUGGCCACCCUGUCGCGCACGGCCUUGUCGAGAUCAGGUUGUUUCUUGAGAAGAUUUGCCCAAUAGACAAGAAGAUGGAGUACUAGAUCCAGAAGCUCACCAAUGCCGCAGAUGGCGUGGCAGCCCAGGAUAAGGCGCCAGGCGACAAGGUCAAUGGGAAGGGCGGGAAACAAGGCGAGGGCGACCUGUUGGGGUACCGGCCAAACCCGGAUAUGAUGGAUAUCAAAAUUGCUCCUGAAGGACAGAUUUGGAAGCUGGGAAUCUGGGGAAUGCGAAGUUGAUGAGACCUGGAGUAUCUAGACUGUGAUUGCCAUUGUAUAUGUGUUAUAUGAUGAUGUAAC